rnacentral:tRNA from 1 species
GGCCCCAUCGUCUAGUUUGGCCUAGGACACCAGGUUUUCAUCCUGGUAACACGGGUUCGAAUCCCGUACGGGCUACCA